AGAAAUACAAAAAAUUUUAAAAGCAAAAUUAUGAAAACCUAUAUCCCAAAAAAAUGGACAACUUAGAGGAAAUGGAUAAAUUUCUAGAAAACAUAUAACCUC